UUCAAUUAAAUACAAUAUUUUAUUAAUUGAAACCACCUACAGUUGUAUUACAAACAACAUUGUGUUAACGUUACCAAUCCCAACCUAGGGCGUAAGACACGCUCAGGGCCGAAGAGAUCACUUGAACAAACCAAACAAUGCAAUCCCGGGCCUUUGGGAGAAAAAAAAUCCCAGGGCAACAGGUAUUUAACAACAUUUACAGAGUUGAAGGAUUGUACAGGAUCACAGCUUUCAGAAAUACCUGUUGAUGCGAAUGCGCAUGGCGACAGAGCCUUGCCGGAGGCUAAGGUGCAUUACUGUUUAAAACGGCCUGGAACAAUCAGGAGGCAUUGGCGUCUAAAGGGGCACAGUCACAUCUUACUUUGUACCUCCACAGACAAAGGGGGAAGGAAUCUAGCUGAGGAGCCUAAAGCAUCAGGUAUACACUGUGUAUAGAGGUUAUAGCAGUAGAGGGCUUGAUUUUAGCACUUCCGGGUUAAGGGGAAGAGCUAAAAUUACGCCCUCCGCUUAAGUGAUAUGGAGACAUUGUUCUAAUGGCAAGGAAAGAAGACAUCCAAAGUGGCUCGCUGUCUUGUCACACAUUGACAGUACUGUGCUCGAUGGAGAAGGCUCGUUCAAAACCUCCGGAACGUGUAGUAUCUAAUAGGAAAUUAUACAGUGGUGAGAUUUGACAUUUAAGUUGAAUUUUGGCCUGAAAAUUUGACAUAUGGAAACACUUCAUUUAAAGUGUAACUUAAUUCACGAUGCCAUAACUGCUGACAUCAAUAAUCAUAAUCUCAGCAUUUUCAUAACACUGUCGAGACACAGUCUAACCUGUUGAGAGAUGCCGCGUGGUUUUAUGGUUGGUAAAACCCCCAAAAUAGUGUGAAACAGCAUACUACAUCUCGUUUCCUGAAACAGGACAUAUAACUGUGAACACACACUGGCUUCCGUACCUAGCCAAGUGAUCUGUUGUUGACAAACGGGGGGGGGGGGGGUGUCCAGGUGCAGGAUGAGACUGAGGAAUGACAUUUGGGCAUAUACAUAGUAAGCCUAAAUUGUUUAGAGGACAGAACAUGGAGAAAGAUACAUCAUAACAAGGUGUCCACAGUUACAAUUAAAAAAGGACUAAUUCCAGGAAUAUUACAUGAGAAACAUUAAGUCUGCAUUAAAGGACUUGCCAGCCAGUCUCAACAUUCCAACUAUACACUUAAGGCUAGGAUUUGGCCAGGAUUCGUCAACAAAAUCAUUAAAAACUCUAUUGUAGGCCUUCAACGUAGGGAGGUUACAAUUAAUUAGCCAAAAAGAAAGGUGUGCACAAGCAAAGGACGCAUGUUGCCAAAGCAGUAGGUGUAGGGUUUUGGCCGCUCAUUGCUCAUCAGCUUGUAGCCCAACUUGAAAACCGCAGACUCCAGCCUCUCGUAGUCACUGUGGCUGGUGAUUUAGAUCGUCUGGCAACAUUAGGCCAGCACUGGAAUAGUUUGCCUUGUAGGGUGCGCUUUGACACUCAUGGAGGCAUCAUAUUCAGCCAUACAAUAAUAAUGUCACAACGGGUUUUGAUGUGUCAUGACAAUGUGACGUUGGAUUGAGGAGUGCCAAUGUUUUGACGCUACACUUCUAAUGAAAUAAAGUGUACAUUCCACACACAAAUUUACUCCACUGACAAGACAGUAUUUACAACAUUGUUUAACAUGAGCUUAUAAAUUCACUAUAUAGAUGUUGAUAAUCAUCUCACACAAAAGCACAUUUUAUUCUAAUGUGCCAUUGAAAAAAAAUAAAAUAAAAAAAAGCAGUCACCUCUUUAAAAUCCUCUGUAAGGUGCCGAAAUAAUAACAUCUUACCAAUUAAUAAAAAGCAACAAAAUCUGCUAAAUGUUGGAUUUAAUGUUCACACUAUGGCGCAUUUUGGGGUGUCUUCAAGGGGCCAGCCAUUGUCUUAAAAUAUCAAAAGUUUAAAAUAAAAAAGUAUUUCAUUCGUAAUCAAAGUAAAUUGAAGGGCAGAGCUCUUCAUAAAACCACCCACACAAAUAAAAACACUGUCUUCAUACACACACACACACA
ensembl:lncRNA